GUAUUGAUCGCGUGUCAACGCAAACAAAAUGAGGACAUUCUACAGACAUUUACAAAGGGGGUUUGUGUGAAAAACGCGAGCCGCCUCGAGGAGGAAGCCCACGCGAUGGUGCACAAAAGGGUGAGAUGGAUUUUUAUGUGAGAGGACACACUCUGGCGUGCACGACUCUUGUGGUAAAAGUCAGCGACAGCCCUCGCAUGCCUCACACAUUUUGUACGAUAAUGAUCCUUCCGCAGGUUCACCUACGGAAA
rnacentral:misc_RNA from 1 species